CCUACGGGUGGCUGCAGUGGGGAAUAUUGGACAAUGGGCGAAAGCCUGAUCCAGCCAUGCCGCGUGUGUGAAGAAGGUCUUCGGAUUGUAAAGCACUUUAAGUUGGGAGGAAGGGCAGUAAGCUAAUACCUUGCUGUUUUGACGUUACCGACAGAAUAAGCACCGGCUAACUCUGUGCCAGCAGCCGCGGUAAUACAGAGGGUGCAAGCGUUAAUCGGAAUUACUGGAGGUAAAGCGCGCAGUUGUGGUUGAAAGCCCCGGGCUCAACCUGGGAACUGCAUCCAAAACUGGCAAGCUAGAGUACGGUAGAGGGUGGUGGAAUUUCCUGUGUAGCGGUGAAAUGCGUAGAUAUAGGAAGGAACACCAGUGGCGAAGGCGACCACCUGGACUGAUACUGACACUGAGGUGCGAAAGCGUGGGGAGCAAACAGGAUUAGAUACCCGUGUAGUC
rnacentral:rRNA from 1 species